CGGAGGCCCGCGGACUCGGCAGCCAAUGGGUUUUUCGGGGUUUGCCUUCUAGCGAAUGGGAGGACGAUCUUUUUUCGGCCUCGGCCAAUGAGGGAACGGAUGGUGUCCUCGGUGACCUAUGGCAACAUCUUUUCCCACCUCCUAACGGAGGCUCUGGGAGGGACUCGAGGACCAGGAUUAGGGGAGAGGGAGCAACGCUCUGGUCCUGAAAGUUAAGGUGCUGUGGAUGAGACCUGGACGAUUCCGAGUCCCCUGCCUUCAAGCAGCUUUCUUUGUGCCCAGUAACCCGGGGUUUCCACGACAGCUCAAACGAAUCCCUUGAACAGAGGGACCUGGCAGGCUAAACGCCGUAGGGUCGCGGACACAACUGAGUAUGCACACGCCUGUCGCAUGAAACCCUAAGUUUAUCCCGGUGGUAACUAGAAUAAAUCAUUUCCUCUCUGA